GAUGAACGCUGGCGGCGUGCCUAAUACAUGCAAGUCGAGCGAACGGACGAGAAGCUUGCUUUUCUGAUGUUAGCGGCGGACGGGUGAGUAACACGUGGAUAACCUACCUAUAAGACUGGGAUAACUUCGGGAAACCGGAGCUACUACCGGAUAAUAUUUUGAACCGCAUGGUUCAAAAGUGAAAGACGGUCUUGCUGUCACUUAUAGAUGGAUCCGCGCUGCAUUAGCUAGUUGGUAAGGUAACGGCUUACCAAGGCAACGAUGGAUAGCCGACCUGGGAGGGUGAUCGGCGACACUGGAACUGAGACGCGGUCCAGACUCCUACGGGAGGCAGCAGUAGGGAAUCUUCCGCAAUGGGCGAAAGCCUGACGGAGCAACGCCGCGUGAGUGAUGAAGGUCUUCGGAUCGUAAAACUCUGUUAUUAGGGAAGAACAUAUGUGUAAGUAACUGUGCACAUCUUGACGGUACCUAAUCAGAAAGCCACGGCUAACUACGUG
rnacentral:rRNA from 1 species